UACAGAGGGCUCAAGCGUUGUUCGGAUUCAUUGGGCGUAAAGGGUGCGUAGGCGGCGCGGUAAGUCGGGUGUGAAAUCCUGGAGCUCAACUCCAGAACUGCCUUUGAUACUGCGGAUCUCGAGUCCGGGAGAGGUGAGUGGAACUCCGAGUGUAGAGGUGAAAUUCGUAGAUAUUCGGAAGAACACCAGUGGCGAAGGCGGCUCACUGGCCCGGUACUGACGCUGAGGUGCGAAAGCGUGGGGAGCAAACAGG
rnacentral:rRNA from 1 species